rnacentral:tRNA from 1 species
CGGGGUGUAGCGUAGCCCGGUUAUCGCGCACAUUUGGGAUGUGGAGGUCGCAGGUUCGAAUCCUGCCACCCCGA